UUCUGCAACGGCGAGUGAAAGACCGGUGAACUAGUUCCUCCUUAAAGACGGGAUAUUUGUCAACUGCGUUACCAGUACCACACACAUUCAUCGAUGCUGAUCACUAGCUCUUAUGUGGAUGUAUGAAUUGCAUGCAUGCUGAGUACAGCGGCCGACAACGUGGCGGGUGGCGGCUCCGGCCUGGACUAGGUGGCCGAGUCGUAGGGCUCCAUCUCUAGUAGUGGUACGCGCACCAGAGCCGUCGCCUUCUACGGCUGCUCCGGCUCGGCCGGCACCUAUGGUGGUCGAAUAGCACGGGUCAUGACGACCAAGGGUGUAGUAGCAGGAACCGGUUUCCGUACGUGCACGACGAGCAGGUCGGGCGGUGCCUGAGCGGCCGCCGCAGCGACCAGGGGCGGUCGGCGCCCCUGCUGCGUGGCCGACAAGUCGUCCGCUCCCUAUUCCUGCGGGCGUUGUCGUUCCGGCGGUCCCUCGAGGCCCCGACCGACUACCAGGAGCGGUGGCACUAGCGGAGGUAGUGGAUGCGGAGUCCCGAGUUGGGCGGGCCGCCGAAGGUUCCGCCUCCGCCCCUGUCCCACUGCGGGCAGGAGGCGCGGUGCUCGGGGUCCUCCAUGUGGUGGAAGAUGAUGACGUUGUGCAGGCGGAAGCGCGACAGGGAGAGGUAGCACGAGGACCACCGGUCGGUCCUGGACGCCUCCGAGCGGUUCUAGUUCCACGACCUCUAGUAGCACCGCGACCUGCACGAGCGCGACGAGUACCGGAUGUAGCAGCCGAGGUGCAAGCCCAACCUUCUCGAGCCACAAACGCGGCCGGACCACGAGUAGCACGGCCACCGGGAGCAGCAGUACAGCAGAGCGUAGACACCCUUUAUGAAGACCCUGCUUGAGACUAAAGACUAUUCUUUGAUGUGGUUAAGAAAAUUUUAUAUUCUGCAAAGCCGUCAAAUCACAAAGAUUUAUAUUCUGCAAACUGUCAUAUUAAAGAAAAAAACGUACCUAAACUGCCAUAUUAAAUUUGUACGGUUUUGCAAAAUGCAAUCUUUGUCUCCAUCAUGAGGGAGGCAGGGUGUUAUAUUCUCGCAAAAACUGUGAUGUAAUUACAGUUUUUGCGAGAAUAUAACACCCUGCCUCCCUCAUCAUAAAUGCCGGUAAUCGUCGAUUAAAGGUAUACAUACACACUAAUUAACUCUCUAGACGAAGAUCAUGUA
rnacentral:rRNA from 1 species